UCUGUCUCAGAGAAGUCAUCGUCCUCUAAAC
rnacentral:piRNA from 1 species